UACGUAGGGUGCGAGCGUUAAUCGGAAUUACUGGGCGUAAAGCGUGCGCAGGCGGUGAUGUAAGACAGAUGUGAAAUCCCCGGGCUCAACCUGGGACCUGCAUUUGUGACUGCAUCGCUAGAGUACGGCAGAGGGGGAUGGAAUUCCGCGUGUAGCAGUGAAAUGCGUAGAUAUGCGGAGGAACACCGAUGGCGAAGGCAAUCCCCUGGGCCUGUACUGACGCUCAUGCACGAAAGCGUGGGGAGCGAACAGG
rnacentral:rRNA from 1 species